rnacentral:rRNA from 1 species
AACGAACGCUGGCGGCAGGCCUAACACAUGCAAGUCGAGCGAGGACUUCGGUCCUAGCGGCGGACGGGUGAGUAACGCGUGGGAACGUGCCCUUUGGUUCGGAAUAGCCCCGGGAAACUGGGAGUAAUACCGGAUAAGCCCUACGGGGGAAAGAUUUAUCGCCAAAGGAUCGGCCCGCGUUGGAUUAGGUAGUUGGUGGGGUAAUGGCCUACCAAGCCGACGAUCCAUAGCUGGUUUGAGAGGAUGAUCAGCCACACUGGGACUGAGACACGGCCCAGACUCCUACGGGAGGCAGCAGUGGGGAAUCUUAGACAAUGGGGGAAACCCCGAUCUAGCCAUGCCGCGUGAGCGAUGAAGGCCUUAGGGUUGUAAAGCUCUUUCAGUGGGGAAGAUAAUGACUGUACCCACAGAAGAAGCCCCGGCUAACUCCGUGCCAGCCGCCGCGGUAAGAC